UACAGAGGUGGCAAGCGUUGUUCAGAAUUACUGGGCGUAAAGGGCGCGUAGGCGGCCUUCUAAGUCGAACGUGAAAUCCCCGGGCUCAACCCGGGAACUGCGUCCGAUACUGGAAGGCUAGAAUCCGGGAGAGGGAUGCGGAAUUCCAGGUGUAGCGGUGAAAUGCGUAGAUAUCUGGAGGAACACCGGUGGCGAAGGCGGCAUCCUGGACCGGUAUUGACGCUGAGGCGCGAAAGCCAGGGGAGCAAACGGG
rnacentral:rRNA from 1 species